rnacentral:lncRNA from 1 species
ACGGUGGAGUCUCACAGCUGCAGGGCAGAGCCCACAGCAACAGGGUGGACCCCACAUCAGCAGGGUGGAGCCUUAACAGGCAAAUAGUGACUAGACUGCCUCCUAGCUGGGCAGGAUAGUGCAAUGGACACUGAUAAAGAAAGCCCCAACUCCACAAGACAGAGCAUCUAGGAAAAAAAAGGGGUUUUAAGAGGUCUGCUGCAGCAGACAUAAACGUAGCAGCCUAACAGCCCUGAAUGAACAACGGAGCUCACAGCUCAGCACUUGAGCUCCUACAAGGUACAGACCAUCUCCUCAAGCAGCUCUGGGACCCCUGUAUCUCCAGAGUCACCUCAAAGAAGAUGGAUCAGACUGACAUUAGGUGGGCAUCAUUCUGGGACAAAGAUAGCAGAAGAAGAAACUGGUAGCAUCCCUCACUGUUCUGCAGCUGCUACAGAUGUACCCCAGACAAGCAGGGCCUAGAGUGGACCUCAGCAGUCAUAAAGCAGAGGGGCUAGACUGGUAGAAGGAAAACCAAGUAACAGAAAUACCACAUCAUCAACAAUCUGGGCAUCCACUCAGAGACCCACUUGAAAAGUCAGCAACUACUCAGAUGGCAGGUGGAUAAAUCCACAAAGAUGAAAAGAAAGCAGCACAAAAAGGAGGAAAACACCCAAAACCAGAACACCUUACCUCCUAGAAAAAACCAAAACUCCUCACCAGCAAAGGAAAACACCCAAAACCAGAACACCUCGCCUCCUAGAAAGGACCAAAACUCCUCAACAGCAAGGGAACAAAGCUGGACAGAGAAUGACUGUGACAAAAUAAUGGAAUUUGACUUGAGAAGGUGGAUAAUGAGAAACUUUUGUGAGCUGAAAGAACAUGUUUUAAAUCAAUGCAAAGAAACUAAGAACCUUGAAAAAAGAUAUGAAAAAAGAUUUGAGGGGAGGACUCAAGAUGGCUCUGUGAGAACAACCCAGGAUUGGAGCUCUCAUUGAAUCCGCAAAGAGGUGAGUCUGAGCUGCAUUUCCAGAAUGAUCUUUGUUGCCCACAGAACGGGGAAACUCCCAAGUAUAAAAAAGACACGGGACGCCAGGCAGUAAGUCUGCCUGGCGAAGCCAGCAGUCGGGGCACAGUGGCGGCCGGCCCUACCCAGCAAUUCCCACAGGGCGCGCUUGUCCGGGUGCCCUGUUGAACCGGCAACCUGAGACUUGAGAGGGCUGGACUUGAGACUGAACGAGACUUGGACAGUAGGCCAGCCCAGGGGAUUGCAGGGACAGAGCGAGCGUUCGGGAUACCCAGUGGGACGAACAAAACUGCGAUUUCAAACUAUCCCGAGCAGAUGGUCCGAGACGCUCUGUGGGGGAGGGGCAUCCACCACUAGCGAGGCAACCCGCACCAACUGAGAUACACGCCCACUGCUGAUGCAGCCAGCCAUUGCCGAGGCAACCUGUCCCUACUGAGAUGCAUGCCCACUGCGGACGCAGCCUCCAGUUGCCAAGGCAACCCGUCCCUACUGAGAUACACACCCACUGCAGAUGCAGCCUGCCAUUGCCGAGGCAACACACUACAACGAAAAGACUCCGCCACAGGGCAUGGCGGAGACCACAGCUGAGCCUGCAGGAACAGGGCGAAUCACACAACAGCAGGGCGGAGACUCGGCAGGCAAACAGUGGCUAGUCUGCCUCCUAGCUGGGCAGGACACCUCAAAGGACAUCGAAAAAUAAAGCCCGAACCCCCCAACACAGAGUAUUUGAGAAAAAAAUGGUUUUUUUAAUGAGCUCUGUUGCAGCAGAAUCAAACAUAGCAGCCUAACAGCCCUGAAUGAACAACAGAGCUCACAGCUCAGAAAUUGAGCUCCUAAAAAGAACAGACUG